CGUGGGUGAUCUGCCCUGCACUUCGGGAUAAGCCUGGGAAACUGGGUCUAAUACCGGAUAUGACCUCAGGUUGCAUGACUUGGGGUGGAAAGAUUUAUCGGUGCAGGAUGGGCCCGCGGCCUAUCAGCUUGUUGGUGGGGUAAUGGCCUACCAAGGCGACGACGGGUAGCCGACCUGAGAGGGUGACCGGCCACACUGGGACUGAGACACGGCCCAGACUCCUACGGGAGGCAGCAGUGGGGAAUAUUGCACAAUGGGCGAAAGCCUGAUGCAGCGACGCCGCGUGAGGGAUGACGGCCUUCGGGUUGUAAACCUCUUUCAGCAGGGACGAAGCGCAAGUGACGGUACCUGCAGAAGAAGCACCGGCUAACUACGUGCCAGCAGCCGCGGUAAUACGUAGGGUGCAAGCGUUGUCCGGAAUUACUGGGCGUAAAGAGUUCGUAGGCGGUUUGUCGCGUCGUUUGUGAAAACCAGCAGCUCAACUGCUGGCUUGCAGGCGAUACGGGCAGACUUGAGUACUGCAGGGGAGACUGGAAUUCCUGGUGUAGCGGUGAAAUGCGCAGAUAUCAGGAGGAACACCGGUGGCGAAGGCGGGUCUCUGGGCAGUAACUGACGCUGAGGAACGAAAGCGUGGGUAGCGAACAGGAUUAGAUACCCUGGUAGUCCACGCCGUAAACGGUGGGCGCUAGGUGUGGGUUCCUUCCACGGAAUCCGUGCCGUAGCUAACGCAUUAAGCGCCCCG
rnacentral:rRNA from 1 species